ACCCAACCUCCAAUUUUUUUGAGUACUCAAUACACCGCCACAUGAUGCUAUUAUUUCAUUCGAAUUAUAACGUGCAAUUUUGUUCAUUAAUGCACCCUAAAAAUCAGUUAACUUUGUUGUCCUCCCAUAUUAUAAUCAAGGGAGGAAGCGUUCCUCCUUCUGCGACGAAUUGACAAUUUUCUGUCCUCACUAAUUAAAGGGCUUAUUUGUUGUUGUGUGAAAUAGUUUCAAUUUUGUCGUCCCCUGUAUUAUAAACAUACGGUAACACAAAAGCUUUGGCAUAUAUGAAUAGUUGCUUGCACCAAUUUUUGUUCCAACUAUGUUUUCCGGCGUAAUACAAUCACACAGAGAGCUCUGCAGUUUUCAGGUUUGCGGCUUGCAGAUUCACGAUACUGUAUUCUUCUUCAUAGAAAGGUAAAUCUGGGGAUAAAUACACAUGAAGUACCAAGCCAAACUAAAUAUUAUCUACCUUGCAAUUAUAUUAUUACAUUAUUUGAAUCGUGAAAGUACACACCCAUGAUGAAAAAAAUAGGGUCUAAAAACAUGAAUAAGAUUUACAACGUCUAUACACAUGAUCUUUUAUUUCUUUCUCUCCUUAAAGUAGCGGCCUUGAUCAGACGUUCCCCGCGCAUCCAACGUCCCUACGUAUGUAGACCAUAUACUAAUAAAUAAGAUAUAUCAGUAAAAACUGCUGUAAAUUAAUUACCUAGUAAGGUGGAGGAGGCCGACCCCAAGGUGGUGGUGGCGGUCUGUGGGGGUCUGAGUAAGGCGGUGGAGGAGGACCAGGUGGCGGAGGGCCUGGUGGGUAAUACGGUGGGGGUGGAGUACCAGGUGGGUGGUGGUGGAUUGGUGGUGGAGGUGGAGGAUGGAAUUCCAGAUGGGGAGGUGGAGGUGGAGGAAAGAAUUCCCGAGGCGGCGGUGGAGGUGGUGGACCUGGUGGAUGCCCAUGGUGGUGAGGAGGAGGGGGAGGUGGUGGUGCAAAUGGAUCUGGUGGUGGUGGUCCUGGCGGA